rnacentral:lncRNA from 1 species
CUUUGAAACCCAGAAAGAGUCCCUUGAGGGUACUGAAAAGAAGAAACCUGCAGAAGUCCUUCUGAUCAACCACAGACAUGACCUCCCUGAUGACAGUCCACAUCAAAGCUCAGGAUGAAUCACUGUAUGUUUUAGUCCCACUAGUUCAGAAGACAGAUAUCAGCAAGAGACCGAAGCCAUUCCACAGG